UACGGGGGGGGGCAAGCGUUGUUCGGAAUUACUGGGCGUAAAGGGCUCGUAGGCGGCCAACUAAGUCAGACGUGAAAUCCCCAGGCUUAACCUGGGAACUGCGUCUGAUACUGGAUGGCUUGAAUUCGGGAGAGGGAUGCAGAAUUCCAGGUGUAGCGGUGAAAUGCGUAGAUAUCGGGAGGAACACCGGUGGCGAAGGCGGUUCUCUGGGCCUGACCUGACGCUGAGGAGCGAAAGCGUGGGGAGCGAACAGG
rnacentral:rRNA from 1 species